UUCCCCAGGAAAAGCCCACCACACGUCAAUCAGCAGGAGAGCGAGAACCGAGGACGAAGUCACAGGCAUCACUUCACGCGACAGCUUUGUUUUAUACCAACACUCAACAAUGGCAUGAAAGAAGAAGUGUGUUUUUGGAUGUAAGGAGAAGUAUGCCAGCCUUAUGGAAGCAAUGGAUAUAGUUUGUUUAUCUGGGGUAGCAGCAGAGUUUGGCGUGUGUGUUUGUUUAAAGCUGGAUUUUGUUGAAAAGUCCCAACCGGGUCAUGAGUUGCAGGCGGUUGCCAAGUGGGUGCUGGAGGAGUUGUGUCCAAAGGGAACAAACCAUUUCUUUGACAUCUGGCAUAUUGGUAAAAGUGUUGGGAAGGCUUUGAAUGCUGCUGCAAAGGAAGAUCUGAAGCUGUUGAGGCCAGAAAAUAAAUUGUACUUUAAAAG